GACGAACGCUGGCGGCGUGCUUAACACAUGCAAGUCGAACGGAAAGGCCCUGCUUUUGUGGGGUGCUCGAGUGGCGAACGGGUGAGUAACACGUGAGUAACCUGCCCUUGACUUUGGGAUAACUUCAGGAAACUGGGGCUACUACCGGAUAGGAGCUCCUGCUGCAUGGUGGGGGUUGGACAGUUUCGGCGGGUGGGGAUGGACUCGCGGCUUAUCAGCUUGUUGGUGGGGUAGUGGCUUACCAAGGCUUUGACGGGUAGCCGGCCUGAGAGGGUGGCCGGCCACAUUGGGACUGAGAUACGGCCCAGACUCCUACGGGAGGCAGCAGGGGGGAAUAUUGCACAAUCGGCGGAAGCCUGAUGCAGCAACGCCGCGUGCGGGAUGACGGCCUUCGGGUUGUAAACCGCUUUCGCCUGUGACGAAGCGUGAGUGACGGUAAUGGGUAAAGAAGCACCGGCUAACUACGUG
rnacentral:rRNA from 1 species